rnacentral:rRNA from 1 species
GACGAACGCUGGCGGCGUGCUUAACACAUGCAAGUCGAACGCUGAAGCUUGGUGCUUGCACUGGGUGGAUGAGUGGCGCACGGGUGAGUAAUACGUGAGUAACCUGCCCUUGACUCUGGGAUAAGCCUGGGAAACUGGGUCUAAUACUGGAUACGACAUGCCACUGCAUGGUGGUGUGUGGAAAGGGUUUUACUGGUUUUGGAUGGGCUCACGGCCUAUCAGCUUGUUGGUGGGGUAAUGGCCUACCAAGGCGACGACGGGUAGCCGGCCUGAGAGGGUGACCGGCCACACUGGGACUGAGACACGGCCCAGACUCCUACGGGAGGCAGCAGUGGGGAAUAUUGCACAAUGGGCGGAAGCCUGAUGCAGCGACGCCGCGUGAGGGAUGACGGCCUUCGGGUUGUAAACCGCUUUCAGCACGGACGAAGCGUGAGUGACGGUACGUGCAGAAGAAGCGCCGGCUAACUACGUG